rnacentral:lncRNA from 1 species
AAAUUGAAUCAGAUCUUUUCUGCUGAAGAUGUGAAGCUGCUUUUUUACAGAUUACAAUGAUAACUGAACAGCAAUCUGACAUUCAUAUGUGUGAUUAUAAUCCUGCAUUUAUAUUAUUUCUUUAUUUUCAUCUAUAAAGACUAUCCCUCCCGCUGAGUUAUUGUUAUUGUCUGGUAAAGAGAAAAUGAUAUCUCCGCUUAGUAUAUAAUCUGCCUUUACUGUCUGCAUGCCUGUGUGUGUUAAGGUUAGCAUCCAGGUGAGGAAGUGUCAACAGGCUUGUUCAGGUGCAAUAAUAUUAAGGUGUGUGAAUAAUCAGGUAAAUAAGAGCUCAUUUAAAUGAGGUUUCAGAAAUUUAACUGUUCAGGUCAUAGAGUAUUCAGAAGAAUGGCCUUUAAGGGGAGAGGAUGAAUGUGCAUUCAGAUGGGCAGGUUUUCAGAAAUGAAAGUGUUAUGGUAAAAGAGUGUUCAGGUUAGUUGGUAAGUGAGUGUUUAGAAAUGUAAGCACUGAGUUGAAUUGCUAUUCAAGUGAGUGUUUAGGAAAGUACGUGUGGAGGGGAAUACGUUUUCAGGUAAAGUAUUCAGGUAAGGGGAUGUUCAGUUAAAUGUGCAUUCAGUGUUCAGAAGAGCAUUUAAAAAUUUAAGUGUUCAGUUUAGUGAGUGUUCAGGAGAUUGUAAUCUCUGUUAUGAGAGUUCAGGUCAGUGUUCAGGAAUGUAUGCUUCCAGGUGAGGGAGUGUUCAGGAAUGUAUGCUUUCAGGUGAGGGAGUGUUCAGGUGAGUGUUUAGGAAUGUAUGCUUUCAGAUAAGGUAGUGUUCAGGUGAGUGUUUAGGAAUGUAUGCUUUCAGGUGAGGGUUGGUCAGGAAUGUAUGCUUUUAGGUGAGGGAGUGUUCAGGUGGGUUUUUUUUAGGAAUGUAUGCUUUCAGGUGAGGGAGUGUUCAGGUGAGUGUUUAGAAAUGUAUUCUUUUAGGUGAGGGAGUGUUUAGGAAUGUAUGCUUUCAGGUGAGGUAGUGUUCAGGAAUGUAUGCUUUUAGAUAAGCAAGUGUUUAGGAAUGUAUGCUUUCAGAUAAGGUAGUGUUCAGGUAAGUAUUCAGGAAUGUAUUUUUUGAGGUGAGCGAGUGUUCAGGUAAAUGUCCUGUAAGGUGAGCAGAUGUGUAAGUGUUCAGGGAGUGAACAUACAUGUAGGUUAGCAUUCAGGUGAGUUAGAGUUUAGGUGAGUGUGUGUGAGUGUGUGUGUGUAUUCCCCCUCUUUCUCUAAUCUCCUGAUUACUUAAUUGGAUCAGUUAUUGGAGCAGGUCCGGGCCUGGGUGAUCAAGGAAUAACCAAGAACAGCCAGGGGAGGAUUUCUACUAUCCCAGGAACUCCCUGCAGGGGGUGAGGACACACACACACACACACACACACGCACACACACUCCUUUCUGCUCUGUCCUCCAAUACACACAUGCAGCAUAAAAG